GAAUUUCUGGAACCUGCAGAGUGGAGCCCCAGGCGAGAAGGGGGCUGUAUCUGAAUGGCCAUGUGAAGCAGAGCCCUCCUACCACCCUUAACUAAGAGGAAAUCCAAUUUUCCAUCUCAUGUGGUUUUUAAAAUAAUGUAACCGUACUAUAUAUCAGUGAAAAAGAAUGAAAUAUCACUGCACACAUCAAGUUGGAUGCAUCUCAGAAAAUAAUAUUGAGUGAAAAAAAUCAAGUUGCAGAAGAAUUCAGACAGUGAUUCCAUUUAUAUCAACUCAGAAUAUUUGAGACUAAACCACCCACUGUUUGAGAAUAUCAACGUAUGUGCCAAAGCAAGACUUUCAUGUUUAAGUAAAUAGAUAUUUCUUGAGAAACAUGAAACAGAACCUUGUGCUUUGGGAGUUCUUCAUAUAAAAACAAAACAGCAUCAAUAA